AAGAUGGUGAACAGCAGUGGGGAAUAUUGGGCAAUGGAGGAAACUCUGACCCAGCAACGCCGCGUGAAUGAUGAAGGUCUUCGGAUUGUAAAGUUCUUUUCUAAGGGAAGAAGAAAGUGACGGUACCUUAGGAAUAAGCCUCGGCUAACUACGUGCCAGCAGCCGCGGUAAUACGUAGGAGGCAAGCGUUAUCCGGAAUGACUGGGCGUAAAGGGUGCGUAGGUGGUUUGAUAAGUUGGUAGCGUAACUCCGAGGCUCAACCUCGGCACUACUACCAAAACUGUCGGACUUGAGUGCAGGAGGGGCAACUGGAAUUCCUAGUGUAGCGGUGGAAUGCGUAGAUAUUAGGAGGAACACCAGUGGCGAAGGCGAGUUGCUGGACUGUAACUGACACUGAGGCACGAAAGCGUGGGGAGCAAACAGGAUUAGAUACCCUUGUAGUA
rnacentral:rRNA from 1 species